rnacentral:tRNA from 1 species
GGGGACGUAGCUCAACUGGCCGAGCGUCGGCUUUGCAAGCCGAAGGUUGCGGGUUCGACUCCCGUCGUCUCCA